rnacentral:rRNA from 1 species
CCUACGGGAGGCAGCAGUGAGGAAUAUUGGUCAAUGGCCGGAAGGCUGAACCAGCCAAGCCGCGUGAAGGACGAAGGUGCCAAGCAUUGUAAACUUCUUUUGUCAAGGGACAAAAUCAGGCUCGAGCGCCUGACCGAGUGUACUUUAAGAACGAGCAUCGGCUAACUCCGUGCCAGCAGCCGCGGUAAUACGGAGGAUGCGAGCGUUAUCCGGCUGUAUUGGGUUAAAAGGGUGCGUAGGCGGACUGUUAAGUCAGCGGUAAAAGCCCGGGGCUCAACCCCGGCGAGCCGUUGAAACUGGCGGUCUUGAGAGGGCGAGAGGCAGGCGGAAUGCGCAGUGUAGCGGUGAAAUGCUUAGAUAUUGCGCAGAACUCCGAUGGCGAAGGCAGCAUACCGGAGGAGAUCUGACGCUGAGGCACGAAAGCGUGGGUAUCGAACAGGAUUAGAUACCCCUGUAGUC